GUUAAAAAACUGCAUCGUGUGGUUGUGUUUUCAUCUGUAUUCUAAUUGCUUCUCUUUUCUCAGUCAAUUGACGAGGAGCAGCCCCGGAGCAGUGACAAGUGUGCCACCACCUGCAGUUCCCUCAGAAACUGACGCCAGAGGCUGAGAGAACGGGAAAAACACCCAUCACGGAUGUGGAGGUGCGCUCGCUGCCUUGCUGCUGCCGAGGACGCUCGCGGCGGCGGCCGAAAGAACCGAGAAUCAUCUCUCGAACUGCUGGCACGGGAGCUUUCCCUUCCCAGGUGACCGUACCGCAGCUAAUCGUUCUGAACUACGCGUUAUUCCCGUGGCUGCGAAGGAGCAGCGGGGUUACCUUCCCGUGGUGCUCCUUGCACCACUCGGACAUGCCGUCCAGCAGCUCGUCGGGCUGGUUGAUGAUCAGGUUGGGGCCCUGGCAGGAGGAGAACACACGAGAUCGGGUGAGGAACGCGGCCGGUACCGGCAGAUCAGGUGAGGAACGCGGUCGGUACCGAUAGAUCGGGUGAGGAACGCGGCCGGUACCGGCAGACGGGGUGAGGAACGCGGCCGGUUCCGCGUCCCCGCUGUGCCCCGGCCCGGGCCCGAGGCACGGCCGGCCCGCGCACCCACCUCGGCCAGCACGUUGAGGUCGCAGUCGGUGAUCAGACACGCCAUCUCCAGGAUCUGGUCCUUCUCCACGUCCAGGCCCGUCAUCUGCCACACAGCGCGGCACCGUCAGCGCGCCCGCCGCCGCCCGCGCCCC